rnacentral:lncRNA from 1 species
AGAGAGGAACCGGUGUGGUGAACUCCUGGCAUGCGCAGGUGACAAGAGGUUCCGCAGGUCACAGGCUUAUUAAACUUGGAUGACAGUAAACCGAUGACUAACUGGAAUGAAUGGAGUCUCUACACAUCAAAUCGUGUGUCUUGACUACUCAGGAUGUCAAGGGCAAAGGUUAACUCCUGGGGGUUUUCUUUCUGUAUUAAGAUUCUCAAGAGAACAGAACCAGUGGUGGAUGUGGAAACAAGGCUCCGAAAAUGUUAAAGAAGCCACUCCUGGUCAUUACAUCAGCUAAACGACAGGCUCUGAUUCACCUGGGCUGUGGGAUUUCCAGGAUCAAAGCAAGUGUAAGAGGGCUGAUGGUGGGCCACUGUCACCACACCCUUCAUCUUUCACUGUGUCAUCUGAGGUUGUUCUACAGUGCCUUGCUUCUGAUUGUGCUGUCAACCUUCUCAGUCCCUGGGUUGGACCUAGGACAACAGGCCAGCCUUUGGUUAGCAUCAGCAGCUGAGUGGAGACUCGUCUCCAAGCAUCAAGGAUGUGAAAAUGUGAUCUUGUUGGGGAUAGUGGGAGCUUGGGGGAUGGGUUCCUUUGUACUUCUCUCAAGGUCUCCUGGUCCCUCCCUGUGUGUUUGUGGGCGCCACAGACAGCCUCACAAUCAGGAUGAGUGGUAACGGGACAGUCAAACACAAUGAAGGGAAUCAUUGUCUCACGAGAGUCAGAACAUCUGUUCCUCCCACCGCACCUGGGCGAAGGCCAAAUAAUCAAAAGAAGGAAACAGGAUCUGCCAACAACGCACUUUACCUUGAGUCUUUGUGUAGAGAAUACCUUCUCCAAGUAGGCGCCUUUCAUUGGCUCAGAUUUUCCCAUCUCAGUUGUCAUUAUAACUGAAAGCUAUUGUAGCUCAUAAUUUCACAUUGUCCUUUCAAAUAGAAGCAUCGCCAAGCAGAUGUGAACAAUUAUCUUCAAUUGUGAUUUUUUUUCCAUUAAAUUUCUAAAGGAAUACCUAACCUGGGUGUUCAAACAUUGGUUAAUCC